rnacentral:rRNA from 1 species
CGGAGUGAACGCACCACUGGUGUUCGGGUUGUCAUGCCAAUGGCAUUGCCCGGUAGCUAAGUGCGGAAGAGAUAACCGCUGAAAGCAUCUAAGCGGGAAACUUGCCUCGAGAUGAGUCUUCCCUGUCACUUUAAGUGACCUAAAGGAACGUUUAAGACUAAGACGUUGAUAGGCUGGGUGUGUAAGCGUAGCGAUACGUUGAGCUAACCAGUACUAAUGAACCGUGAGGCUUAACCUGACAACACCGAAAGUGUUUUG